rnacentral:rRNA from 1 species
CAGCCGCCACGGUAAUACAGAGGGUGCGAGCGUUAAUCGGAUUUACUGGGCGUAAAGCGUGCGUAGGCGGCUUUUUAAGUCGGAUGUGAAAUCCCUGAGCUUAACUUAGGAAUUGCAUUCGAUACUGGGAAGCUAGAGUAUGGGAGAGGAUGGUAGAAUUCCAGGUGUAGCAGUGAAAUGCGUAGAGAUGUGGAGGAAUACCGAUGGCGAAGGCAGCCCCCUGGGCCAAUACUGACGCUCAUGCACGAAAGCGUGGGGAGCAAACAGGAUUAGAUACCCCGGUAGUCCCUGUCUCUUAUAC